UACGUAGGGGGCUAGCGUUGCUCGGAAUCACUGGGCGUAAAGCGCACGUAGGCGGCUUUUUAAGUCAGGGGUGAAAUCCUGGAGCUCAACUCCAGAACUGCCUUUGAUACUGGGAAGCUCGAGUCCGGAAGAGGUGAGUGGAACUCCGAGUGUAGAGGUGAAAUUCGUAGAUAUUCGGAAGAACACCAGUGGCGAAGGCGGCUCACUGGUCCGGUACUGACGCUGAGGUGCGAAAGCGUGGGGAGCAAACAGG
rnacentral:rRNA from 1 species